rnacentral:tRNA from 1 species
GCGGAGCGGGUAAAUUGGCAGACGCUACGGUCUUAAAAUCCGUUGACCGUAAGGUCGUGUGGGUUCGACUCCCACCCUCGGCACCA